GGGUUGUGAGGUUAAGCGACUAAGCGUACACGGUGGAUGCCCUGGCAGUCAGAGGCGAUGAAGGACGUGCUAAUCUGCGAUAAGCGUCGGUAAGGUGAUAUGAACCGUUAUAACCGGCGAUUUCCGAAUGGGGAAACCCAGUGUGUUUCGACACACUAUCAUUAACUGAAUCCAUAGGUUAAUGAGGCGAACCGGGGGAGCUGAAACAUCUAAGUACCCCGAGGAAAAGAAAUCAACCGAGAUUCCCCCAGUAGCGGCGAGCGAACGGGGAGGAGCCCAGAGCCUGAAUCAGUGUGUGUGUUAGUGGAAGCGUCUGGAAAGGCGCGCGAUACAGGGUGACAGCCCCGUACACAAAAAUGCACAUGCUGUGAGCUCGAUGAGUAGGGCGGGACACGUGGUAUCCUGUCUGAAUAUGGGGGGACCAUCCUCCAAGGCUAAAUACUCCUGACUGACCGAUAGUGAACCAGUACCGUGAGGGAAAGGCGAAAAGAACCCCGGCGAGGGGAGUGAAA
rnacentral:rRNA from 1 species